AUAAAAAGUGGAUCACUGGUGACGGAUCAAAUUUUGCGCAACUUAGAGGAUUUGACGGCCGACGACCCGCAAGCCAUGCAGAAUGGUUUUGGAAACUUCGAUUCCUGCGCUUCCUUUCAGUCCACUGACGAAUGCAACACGACGGCCCAGGUGUUCGGGUGUGGCAAGAAAAAUGCACCAGACCUGACAAUCGGACUCGUCACUGCCAACAAAGGAGACGCCACUGUUUCAGUAACUGCUACAGGGGGAAUUAAAACCACCGGGAGAGUGUGUCCUCUGUAUCCAAGUUGUGUUCCAAAU